GAAUCCCAUACUAAAUCCUAAUCAGUGAGAGUUCCUUCUGAGUCAGAGAACUGGGGAUGGUGUUUGGUACAAAGACCAGACGAGGUUCUUCUACAGAGCUAAGGUUUUGGGGAGCUGGGAUGGACGAACUCCUAGAAUUGCUAGAGGAGGAAGUGCUAGAAGAUAUUUUGAAUCAAACAAAAAUCCUAAAAACCCUAAAAAAAUUGGGAGAAAUAAGAAACAGAAAGUUCGUGAAAAACUGAAU
rnacentral:lncRNA from 1 species